GCCCGUCUAGCUCAGUCGGUAGAGCGCAAGGCUCUUACCCUGUGGUCGUGGGUUCGAGCCCCACGGUGGGUG
rnacentral:tRNA from 1 species